GAUGAACGCUGGCGGCAUGCUUUACACAUGCAAGUCGAACGGUAACAGGGUGCUUGCACCGCUGACGAGUGGCGAACGGGUGAGUAAUGCGUCGGAACGUGCCGAGUAGUGGGGGAUAACGCAGCGAAAGUUGUGCUAAUACCGCAUACGUACUGAGGUAGAAAGUGGGGGACCUUCGGGCCUCACGCUAUUCGAGCGGCCGACGUCUGAUUAGCUAGUAGGUGAGGUAAAGGCUCACCUAGGCGACGAUCAGUAGCGGGUCUGGGAGGAUGAUCCGCCACACUGGGACUGAGACACGGCCCAGACUCCUACGGGAGGCAGCAGUGGGGAAUUUUGGACAAUGGGCGAAAGCCUGAUCCAGCCAUGCCGCGUGUCUGAAGAAGGCCUUCGGGUUGUAAAGGACUUUUGUCAGGGAGGAAAUCCCUAGUGCUAAUAACGCUGGGGGCUGAGAGUACCGGAAGAAUAAGCACCGGCUAACUACGUGCCAGCAGCCGCCGUAA
rnacentral:rRNA from 1 species